GUUGUCGAACGAUUCUUUUACUGCCAUAGACGCCCGUUUUAACGCCAGGACACACACCGCAUGCAGGAUUGCCCCGACUUUUCAAACCAACGAAGACUAUAAAAGCACGGCAAGGGAGAGCAGAGAUGAAGAGCAUGUUGUUGGCAUCGCUGGAUCUACUUGCCCGAGCCGCCGCCGGUACAUGUGACAGCUACGUAGUCGAGAUUCCAUUACUACAGCUAGUAUGAUCUUGGGGAAAUUCAACUUGCAAGAACGGGCCAUUUUUCCAUGGUCAUAUCGAGUUUUGACAUCAUAUUUUGAUACUGUCGAUGCACUGAUGACGCAAUCUAUGCAGACCUCGAGCCCUUUGGGUAAUGCUACGACGGGUGGAAUUCACACACACCUCGAUUCCGACAUGACAACUAAACAGAGUGCUCCUUUUACCAUUAACCUGUUUCCUCACAUGUACGGAGCGCUGGCACCAGUGGCUCUCGGUGUUCCCGGAAACCUCAUGGCAAUACUGGUAGCAACUAGAAGACACAACCGAAAUCUCUCGCCGUGCAUUUACAUGAUGGCAAUGGGCAUAGCGGAUACGGCGCUACUAUUAGAGCUGGCCUGGGCUGUUGGAUUUGCUCUCCUCCUGAGAGACGGCAUUAUCGAGUCAGCCGAAUGGAUUAUGAAAUUUCACGCGUAUGUUCUUUACACAAGUGCCAUGCUGUCAGGCCUGUAUCUGGCGGAGAUGUCCAUUGACAGGAUGUUAGCCGUCAAAUACCCUAUGGCGGCCUCUAGAUUGUGCAGCAGCAUCAGAGCCAAGACUGUCGUCAUCCUCACCACACUCGUCAUUCCGACACUUAAUCUUUACCUUCUGUACAUUGUCAAAGCCAGACACGAUCCUGCUUUAGGAAUUUACUUCGGAACCUUCGACAUCCCUGAUUACCCCGCCUUGGAAGUAUUCACAUCAGCCUACCAGGUAGUCCUGGGGACGGUAUUCCCCUUCCUCAUCAUCUUAGCAUGUAAUGUGGUCAUCAUUGUCACCCUUAAUCGGGCGGUCAAGGAAAGGAACCAAUUAGAAUCGAGGAGCAGCCAGUCUAGCCAGAAACUUCAGAGAGAUACGAACUAUUUGACUAAAAUGUUACUGUUCGUGAGCUUUGCUUAUGUUUUAAUAACUUUACCAUAUAGAAUGUACCAUUUGGUCAUAAAGAUACCCGAAGUUGCCCUACUGUUCGGCGAUCUACGUGACACGUUUGCAAGAUUUAAUUACGUGGUACAAGCGUGGUCACUUUUGAACUUUUGGUCUUUUAAUUUUGCGGUGAAUUUUUAUUUAUAUUGUAUUGGUGGUGGACAGAGAUACAGGAAAGACGCAAAAGAUGUUUUACGAAGUUGUUGUACAUGGAAUGAUUUUUAAUAACCUCUUGGAGGUGACCUUUGGGAAUGGCUUUGCAGUGUCAGGCUUGAUAAGUUUUAAUGCAAAACAAAUUAAUCAAAAGGCUGAAACAGAAUUUAACGAAAGAUCACUUUUGGCAUGAGUUGACUAUUUUUGUAUCGGACAAACACUGAAUGCUCAAUACCUUAAUUAAACGAAUUAGAUAUAUCUAAAUUUGUAGUUCUAUCGUGAUGUUUCUAUAAAAGCCUAAAAAUAAUCGUCGCUUCAAACAAACCAUAUCGGUGGUUGGAGUUUAUAUUCAACGUUGAUAUAAACAGCGACGCGGCAAGGUGGCUGAAAAAGCUGCGAGCUUUGAUAUCGAUUCUUUCUGCUUCAUGGACCCGCAUGCAAGCCAAAAUGCAAGGUUGGCCCGACAUCUCAACUCAACGACGACAGAGAAGUGUUCAGUUAGCCUAAGCAGAGAUGAAGACCAUGUUGUUGGCAUCGCUGGAUCUACUUGCCCGAGCCGCCGCCGCCGGUACAUGUGACAGCUACGUAGUCGAGAUUCCAUUACUACAGCUAGUAUGAUCUUGGGGAAAUUCAAUUUGCAAGAACGGGCCAUUUUUCCAUGGUCAUAUCGAGUUUUGACAUCAUAUUUUGAUACUGUCGAUGCACUGAUGACGCAAUCUAUGCAGACCUCGAGCCCUUUGGGUAAUGCUACGACGGGUGGAAUUCACACACACCUCGAUUCCGACAUGACAACUAAACAGAGUGCUCCUUUUACCAUUAACCUGUUUCCUCACAUGUACGGAGCGCUGGCACCAGUGGCUCUCGGUGUUCCCGGAAACCUCAUGGCAAUACUGGUAGCAACUAGAAGACACAACCGAAAUCUCUCGCCGUGCAUUUACAUGAUGGCAAUGGGCAUAGCGGAUACGGCGCUACUAUUAGAGCUGGCCUGGGCUGUUGGAUUUGCUCUCCUCCUGAGAGAUGGCAUUAUCGAGUCAGCCGAAUGGAUUAUGAAAUUUCACGUAUAUGUUCUUUACACAAGUGCCAUGCUGUCAGGCCUGUUUCUCGCGGAGAUGUCUGUUGACAGGAUGUUAGCCGUCAAGUACCCCAUGGCGGCCUCUAGACUGUGUACCACCAAGAGAGCCAAGAUUUUUGUUAUCGUCACAACCCUCGUCAUCCUGACACUCAAUCUGUACCUUCUGUACAUUGGCAAAGCCACACAUGAUCCUGCUUUAGGAAUUCACUUUGCAACAUUCGAUAUCCCUGAUUACCCCGCCUUGGAAGUAUUCACAUCAGCCUACCAGGUAGUCGUGGGGACUGUCUUCCCCUUCCUCAUCAUCUUGACUUGUAAUGUGGUCAUCAUUGUCACCCUUAAUCGGGCGGUCAAGGAAAGGAACCAAUUAGAAUCAGGGAAAAACAGCGAGAAAUUCAAGAGAGAUACGAACCAUUUGACUAAAAUGUUACUGUUCGUGAGCUUUGCUUAUGUUUUAAUAACUUUACCAUAUAGAAUGUACCAUUUGGUCAUAAAGAUACCCGAAGUUGCCCUACUGUUUGGCGAUCUACGUGACACGUUUGCAAGAUUUAAUUACGUGGUACAGGCGUGGUCACUUUUGAACUUUUGGUCUUUUAAUUUUGCGGUGAAUUUUUAUUUAUAUUGUAUUGGUGGUGGACAGAGAUACAGGAAAGACGCAAAAGAUGUUUUACGAAGUUGUUGUACAUGGAAUGAUUUUUAAUAACCUCUUGGAGGUGACCUUUGGGAAUGGCUUUGCAGUGUCACGUUUGAUAAGUUUUAAUGCAAAACAAAUUAAUCAAAAGGCUGAAACAGAAUUUAACGAAAGAUCACUUUUGGCAUGAGUUGACUAUUUUUGUAUCGGACAAACACUGAAUGCUAAAUACCUUAAUUAAACGAAUUAGAUAUAUCUAAAUUUGUAGUUCUAUCAUGAUGUUUCUAUAAAAGCCUAAAAAUAAUCGUCGCUUCAAACAAACCAUAUCGGUGGUGGGAGUUCGACGUUGAUAUAAACAGCGAUGCGGCAAGGUGGCUGAAAAAGCUGCGAGCUUUGAUAUCGAUUCUUUGUACUUCAUGGACACGCAUGCAAGCCAAAAUGCAAGGUUGGCCCGACAUCUCAACUCAACGGCGACAGAGACGUGUCCAGCUAGCCUAAGCAGAAUUGAAGACUAGGCUGCGGGGAUUGCUGAAUGAACUUGCCUUGACUGCCGCCUUUGUGACAGCUACAGAAUUGAGAGUUUGUGGCUAAUAUCAAACGCAGAAGAACAACAACAUCUUAUAUUCAAUGUCUGAUUAGCGCUGGUCACUGCCAACACUUCCACAGACCAUUAACGGCACAAAGUUGAAUCAAAGAGAUAUCAUGGGAUUGUAUUCUAUCUGACACUGCAGUCAUCAUGUUUUGAUACUGUCGGUGCAACAAUGACGUAAUCUAUGCAUUACUCUGGUGCUUCGGGAGAUACUACGAGGGAUGGAAUUCACACACACCCCGAAUCCGACAUGACAACUGGAGAGAGUGCUCCCUCUACCAUGAACCUAUUUCCUCAUAUGUACGGAUGGCUGGUACCAGUGGCACUCGGUGUCCCCGGAAACCUCAUGUCAAUACUGGUAGUCACGAGGAGACAUAACCGAAAGCUCUCGCCGUGCAUUUACAUGAUGGCAAUGGGCAUAGCGGAUACGGUUCUGCUAUUAGAGAUGGCCUGGGCAGUUGGAUUUUCUAUCCUCCUGAGAGACGGCAUUAUCGAGUCCGCA